rnacentral:rRNA from 1 species
UACGGAGGAUGCGAGCGUUAUCCGGAUUUAUUGGGUUUAAAGGGUGCGUAGGCGGACUGUCAAGUCAGCGGUAAAAUUGAGAGGCUCAACCUCUUCCCGCCGUUGAAACUGGUGGUCUUGAGUGGAUGAGAAGUACGCGGAAUGCGUGGUGUAGCGGUGAAAUGCAUAGAUACCACGCAGAACUCCGAUUGCGAAGGCAGCGUACCGGCAUCCAACUGACGCUGAGGCACGAAAGCGUGGGGAUCAAACAGG